UCAUUACUGAUUUAGUAUAAACUUGGAAGUUCUUGAAAGAUUUCUAAACAUGAGGAUUUUUGGUUACUUCUAGCCCACUGAUGCUAAGAUCUCAAAAGAGGAGGAUCUUGAACACCUUGAAUCUGGAAAUUCCCAGAUAGAGAUGAAAUAUGAAGUUGCAGGAAAUGUAGAAACUGAACUGUUUGGAGAAGACACCAUGAAGAUGCCUGUAGACCACAAGCUGCACGAGAAGAUCAAGAACAAACUUUGGGUGUGGUUGAUUGAACAUUUAUUUGUAUGUGUACUUUCAUGCCAAAGUGGACUGCCCCCUAACUGGCUUCCCUUUAAUACAACUAGGAAUUAUUUGUUUUGUUUUUCUCUUUUCAAAUUAUUGUAAUAUUUAAGUUGAUUGUGUUUUCAUUAUCCUUUUGGGGAAAAAAUUCCCAAAUGAUCAAAUGGUGAAAUGUAAAAAUGGAGAUUUGAACCCAGACUUCAAUCCCCAGAAGUCCUUGCUAGAGUGCCCUCUAGCCUCCCUGAAUCUCACCUGAGUGCAAGGUCACAAAUUGUAUUUAACCUGACUCUCAGCCUACUUUGGGUCUCUUUCUUCCUGCUUCCGCUUCCAAGCACACACUUCUCUCGAGAUGUAGUAUUAUGGUAUUAUGAAUCAAGAGAUUCUUGGCUGGUUUCAUAGAGUGUAACAACACACACAGAUAUCACUGAUGAUAGCUCUGCAGAAGAGCAAUGGUACUUUGAAACAAAGUGGACUUGUAUACUAUAACAAUAGUCCAGUUGAGAAAACCCUAUUGAUUUCCCCCCGUGUUCUCUCCUCUAACAUGGUCACCACAUUAGAGCAGACUCUCAUUACUUCAUGUUUAGACUAUUAAAAGAGCUUUCUGGUCAUUGUCUAAAUCCUUACCUAUU
rnacentral:lncRNA from 1 species